AGGCAACGACCAAAAUGACCGCCUCCCCGUUCUCUCCCUAUAUUUUUCGUUUCCCCGGUUCCCGGUGGUUGGUGUGGUCUUUAGAGGGGUGAGUGAGAGAGGGAGGAAGGGCGGAAGGGAAGAAGGCAAUGGCGGUGGCGAUAUCUCUGGCACCUCGAUUCUCGGGGCUCCGCCUCGCGUGCGAGCGCGCCCCGUCUUUGUCCUCCGUCCUCUUUUUGCAUCGCGCUUGCUUUCAACGCCGCCUCUUCUCUACUCCUAGAGCUCCCGGACGCGUCGUCGCCAUGGCCGGAACCGGAAAGUUUUUUGUUGGAGGAAAUUGGAAAUGUAAUGGAACAAAGGAUUCUAUUAGCAAACUUGUUGCCGACUUGAAUGGUGGUAAAAUGGAAAGCGAUGUUGAUGUGGUUGUAGCACCACCAUUUGUCUAUAUUGACCAGGUCAAGAAUUCAUUGACCGAUCGUAUUGAGAUUUCUGCUCAGAAUUGUUGGGUUGGAAAAGGUGGAGCAUUCACUGGAGAAAUAAGUGCAGAGCAAUUGAUAGAUAUGGGUUGCCAGUGGGUUAUUCUUGGGCAUUCUGAGCGCAGACAUAUCAUUGGUGAGGCUGACAAGUUUAUUGGGAAAAAGGCUGCAUAUGCCCUGAGCCAGAAUCUUAAGGUUAUUGCAUGUAUAGGAGAGAAGUUAGAAGAAAGAGAAGCAGGGAAAACUUUUGAUGUCUGUUUUCAGCAGAUGAAGGCUUUUGCAGAUAGUAUCACAAGUUGGGAAGAUGUUGUAAUUGCAUAUGAGCCUGUGUGGGCUAUUGGCACCGGAAAAGUAGCUACUCCUGAGCAGGCUCAGGAAGUACAUGGUGCUGUUCGUGAUUGGCUCAAGAAGAAUAUUUCUGAGGAGGUUGCAUCCAGUACUCGUAUCAUCUAUGGAGGUUCCGUGAAUGGGAGCAAUUGUUCAGAACUUGCAAAGCAAGAAGAUAUUGAUGGAUUUCUUGUUGGAGGCGCAUCUUUAAAGGGUCCAGAAUUUGGCACAAUUGUUAACUCUGUUACUUCGAAGAAGGUUGCUGCAUGAUGAUCCAUUUGAAGUUGGAGAUAAGCACGAAUAAUGUCCAGGAGGCAGUUCAUCACAAUGUGAUUUUGACACAGAUCUUCUGGUAGAACUUCCAGCAAAGAUUUGAAACUGUCCUUGUCGACUUGAUCGUGAGCCACUUGUGCUUGAAAAUUUUUGGAUCGUCAGAUUUUGGAGGCUGCAAUAUCAGUAUAUCAGCAUGAGAUAUGGUGAAUGUUAGAAGGAGCUUUCUGAUGUCAUCUAUUUUGUUUGUUAUUUUUAUUCAUAUGAUGCUUGGUGCACCAUCGUUGUAAUACUUUGCUCAUCCAGAAACUUUAAAUUAUUUUUAAUUUGAUGAUAUAUACAUUCAAACUA